rnacentral:rRNA from 1 species
UACGUAGGGUGCAAGCGUUAAUCGGAAUUACUGGGCGCAAAGCGUGCGCAGGCGGUUAUGUAAGACAGAUGUGAAAUGCCCGGGCUUAACCUGGGAACUGCAUUUGUGACUGCAUGGCUAGAGUGUGUCAGAGGGGGGUAGAAUUCCACGUGUAGCAGUGAAAUGCGUAGAUAUGUGGAGGAAUACCGAAUGGCGAAGGCAG